rnacentral:rRNA from 1 species
AUUGAACGCUGGCGGCAUGCCUUACACAUGCAAGUCGAACGGCAGCACGGGUGCUUGCACCUGGUGGCGAGUGGCGAACGGGUGAGUAAUACAUCGGAACGUACCCGGAAGUGGGGGAUAACGUAGCGAAAGUUACGCUAAUACCGCAUAUUCUGUGAGCAGGAAAGCAGGGGAUCGCAAGACCUUGCGCUUUCGGAGCGGCCGAUGUCAGAUUAGCUAGUUGGUGAGGUAAAGGCUCACCAAGGCGACGAUCUGUAGCGGGUCUGAGAGGAUGAUCCGCCACACUGGAACUGAGACACGGUCCAGACUCCUACGGGAGGCAGCAGUGGGGAAUUUUGGACAAUGGGCGCAAGCCUGAUCCAGCCAUGCCGCGUGAGUGAAGAAGGCCUUCGGGUUGUAAAGCUCUUUCGCGAGGGAAGAAAAGGUACGGGCUAAUACCCUGUGCUGAUGACGGUACCUUGAUAAGAAGCACCGGCUAACUACGUG